CAACAGGGAUUGCCUUAGUAACGGCGAGUGAAGCGGCAACAGCUCAAAUUUGAAAUCUGGCCCUUUUAGGGUCCGAGUUGUAAUUUGCAGAGGGCGCUUUGGCUUUGGCAGCGGUCCAAGUUCCUUGGAACAGGACGUCACAGAGGGUGAGAAUCCCGUACGUGGUCGCUAGCUAUUGCCGUGUAAAGCCCCUUCGACGAGUCGAGUUGUUUGGGAAUGCAGCUCUAAAUGGGAGGUAAAUUUCUUCUAAAGCUAAAUAUUGGCCAGAGACCGAUAGCGCACAAGUAGAGUGAUCGAAAGAUGAAAAGCACUUUGGAAAGAGAGUCAAACAGCACGUGAAAUUGUUGAAAGGGAAGCGCUUGCAGCCAGACUUGCUUGCAGUUGCUCAUCCGGGCUUUUGCCCGGUGCACUCUUCUGCAGGCAGGCCAGCAUCAGUUUGGGCGGUGGGAUAAAGGUCUCUGACACGUUCCUUCCUUCGGGUUGGCCAUAUAGGGGAGACGUCAUACCACCAGCCUGGACUGAGGUCCGCGCAUCUGCUAGGAUGCUGGCGUAAUGGCUGUAAGCGGCCCGUCUUGAAACACGGACCAAGGAGUCUAACAUCUAUGCGAGUGUUUGGGUGUCAAGCCCGAGCGCGUAAUGAAAGUGAACGGAGGUGGGAACCCGCAAGGGUGCACCAUCGACCGAUCCUGAAGUUUACGGAAGGAUUUGAGUAAGAGCAUGGCUGUUGGGACCCGAAAGAUGGUGAACUAUGCUUGAAUAGGGUGAAGCCAGAGGAAACUCUGGUGGAGGCUCGCAGCGGUUCUGACGUGCAAAUCGAUCGUCAAAUUUGGGCAUAGGGGCGAAAGACUAAUCGAACUAUCUAGUAGCUGGUUCCUGC
rnacentral:rRNA from 1 species